UACGGAGGGGGCUAGCGUUGUUCGGAAUUACUGGGCGUAAAGCGCACGUAGGCGGCUUUGCAAGUUAGAGGUGAAAGCCCGGGGCUCAACUCCGGAAUUGCCUUUAAAACUGCAUCGCUAGAAUUGUGGAGAGGUAAGUGGAAUUCCGAGUGUAGAGGUGAAAUUCGUAGAUAUUCGGAAGAACACCAGUGGCGAAGGCGACUUACUGGACACAUAUUGACGCUGAGGUGCGAAAGCAUGGGGAGCAAACAGG
rnacentral:rRNA from 1 species